GGAGAGAGAGGGAGGAAAAGAGGCAUUUUUGGCUGGUUGUACUCAGUGUUAAACUUAUGUGAAUAAGUAGCCGUUUUUACCACACAAAAAAAAAAGGCGGCAUUAAGGCAGGGAUAAGGCAGAGCAUGGGAUGGGGUCAUCGACGCGACGAAACCCGAAGGAAGACGCUUUUGAAGGGGAGGAGAAGAUCGGAUUUGUUGUUGUCCCUUCCCAUGCACUGCCUCUUCCCUAGCUCUUCCUUCACCUCUCCUUCCUUUCCACCCUGCCCAGGUAAAAGUUUUAGAUCAUAUAUCCAAACAAAAAAAGAUUUAAUGCGAUUUACGUAACCUAGAAAGAUCAAUGAAUUCAAUAUUCAGGAAGAAGCGGAGCAAGUCAGUGGACAAAAAGGUAAAACAUUUCACUGUAUCCUAAUUUGUUUGUUUGUUUGUUAGAAAUGUUGAAACAGAGAAGCAUGGCAAUAUGUUCCUUUUAGAUCAAAAAAAAAAAUUAAUGCAGUUUACGUAACUUGAAAAGACCAAUGAAUUCGAUACUCAUGAAGAAGUAGAGCAAGUCAGUGGACAAAAAGAUGAAAUAUUUCGCUAUGUUAUUUCCCCACAAAAUUUUUAAUGCAGUUUGCGUAACUCAGAAAAUUCAAUGAAUUCAAUACUCAUGAAGAAGUAGAGCAACUCAGUGGACAAAAAGCUUUCUUCCAUUGUUGCUACAACGAAAUGAAGGUAACAGAAGGGACGCCUCCCAGAAUGCAUGAAAAAUGAAGCUUUGCAGCUUUCUCAAGACAAGGGAAAUGUGGAGCAUCUGUACGAGGAGUUCGGUUUCAGCUGCUUUUGUUCUCUGUUGUCCAAGCAGCAUUUGCCUGUUUGACAUCUCCACACCUUAUGUCAGAAGCUGCAAAGAAUAAAAUUAAAAAAAAAAAAAAGGAAGGGAAGUGAUCCUGUCUGCAGAAUGCCACAGUAACUGGAAAUACUGAUUGAUUCCCACCAACAUUGAAGCUGUAAUGCAGUCAGUCAAUACGUUGUAGUUUAAAGCACUUGAUGCAUAUUGUGAUGUCUUAUGAACCUACUAGAUUUUUUACUUUUGAGGUUCUGCAUCAUUUCAAGGAUCAGCCUCAUUCAUCGCACCAAAACAACACCACCUUUUUUAACAUACCUGCGAAGCCUUGUCUAAUGUCUCGCUGACGGUUGUCAGGUUGGGAGCUGUAGAGGAGUUUGGUUUGCAGUAGUGUUUGAGUUCUUUCGGUCAAGAAUAUCAUUGUUAUCAACAUCUAUUUGAGGAUAUAUCAUAAUGUUUCAGGCU